rnacentral:pre_miRNA from 1 species
UCGUUCAUCAAUAUUGGCUGUGACAUCGCAACCCGUGUCUACAGGCAAUGUUGACGACGAACAA